UCUAAUACCGGAUACAACACUCUCGGGCAUCCGAUGAGUGUGGAAAGCUCCGGCGGUGAAGGAUGAGCCCGCGGCCUAUCAGCUUGUUGGUGAGGUAACGGCUCACCAAGGCGACGACGGGUAGCCGGCCUGAGAGGGCGACCGGCCACACUGGGACUGAGACACGGCCCAGACUCCUACGGGAGGCAGCAGUGGGGAAUAUUGCACAAUGGGCGAAAGCCUGAUGCAGCGACGCCGCGUGAGGGAUGACGGCCUUCGGGUUGUAAACCUCUUUCAGCAGGGAAGAAGCGAAAGUGACGGUACCUGCAGAAGAAGCGCCGGCUAACUACGUG
rnacentral:rRNA from 1 species